AACGAACGCUGGCGGCAGGCUUAACACAUGCAAGUCGAGCGCCUCGCAAGUGUAACGGCAUACGGGUGCGUAACGCGUGGGAACGUACCCUUAUCUUCGGAAUAGCUCUGGGGGACUGGAAGUAAUACCGAAUGUGCCCUUAGGGGGAAAGAUUGAUCGGAUAAGGAUCGGCCCGCGUUGGAUUAGCAAGUUGGUGGGGUAAAGGCAUACUAAGGCGACGAUCCAUAGCUGGUGUGAGAGGAUGAUCAGCAACAUUGGGACUGAGACACGGCCCAAAAUCCUCCGGGAGGCAGCAGUGGGGAAUAUUGGACAAUGGGGGGAAGCCUGAACCAGCCAUGCCGCGUGAGUGCUGAAGGCAUUAGGGAUGUAAAGCUCUUUCACCGGAGAAGAUAAUGACGGUAUCCGGCGAAGAAGCCCCGGCUAACUUCGUG
rnacentral:rRNA from 1 species